rnacentral:RNase_P_RNA from 1 species
GGAAGGAGGACAGAUGGCCGCCCCGUUUCCGUCCCGGGCGGGCGGGAACGGGGAGGAAAGUCCGGACUCCACAGGGCAGGGUGCUCCGUAAUGCGGAGUGGAGGCAACUCCAAGGAAAGUGCCACAGAAAAGAUACCGCCCAUCCCCUUCCCCUCCGGGAAGGGGAGGCAAGGGUGAAAAGGUGCGGUAAGAGCGCACCGCUUCGAUGGCGACAUCGAAGGCACGGCAAACCCCACCCGGAGCAAGGCCAAAUAGGAGGGCGAGGUCCCGCGACGGCGGGACGAGAGGGUGGCCCGCCCAAGCCCUCGGGUAGGCCGCACGAUUCCGCUGGCAACAGCGGAACCAGAGGGAUGGCCAUCGCCCCCGGGAGCGAAAGCGACCGGGGGAACAGAAUCCGGCUUAUGGACUCCUUCCCCCC